CAGAAUCACAAACGGCUGGACACUCGGGAAAAAUUGCAAAACAAAAAUAGAGAGUGCGAGAUAGAGAGAGAUCGUGAGCUCGAGAGUUGGGUGUCCUUGCUUCCAGCUAUUCUCUCCCUUCCAUUUGGUGACUGCUGGUGAAGGGGUAUUGUUGAUUGGAUUUGCUAUUAAGGACAAGUUUGAAUUAAAUUUUGGCCGGCGAGAGGAUAGACUAACAGUUGAGGAAUUGAUGUCGAAUGCAUUUCGAAGGUACAAAGGUUGAUGCCAUGCAUACUACCAGAAGUUUAGUACUAUGAUAGAGGCGCGUCAAAGUCCAUUUCAAGCAGUGACACCAAAUGAAUGGGAGAAAGUUUGUGAUAUGUUUGAAGAUCUUGCUUAUUAGCUGAAGAAAGUCCUGCUGACUAUAAUCUGACCUAAUUGUAUGGUGAAGUACAUAAAAAUCGUGAUGGUGUUUGGAGCAAUCCCGAGGCAGAGAUAAAUUAUAUGAUAUCUCUUAAGGAAAUUACUGUAGAUCCAUCUUAUGAAUCAUAUGUCAAUAAUGCUCAAAUCAUUUCUCAAGUUCUUGGAUCAUGUUCUGGAUAUUUGAGGGGCUUAGGAUGUUGUGUGAAGCCAUCCUCAAAAUCAUCAUCCUCUUCUAAAGCCAGAUCGAAUGAUGAUAAGACUGAGGAAUUAGAGGAAGCAGCCCUUAAGAUAGAACGAUUAAGGUUCAAGGAAAAAGAGUUGCUGACUCGAUUAGAUCAAGCAGCAGAUUUAAAGAACAGAAAGUACUCGUACAGCAGCCACUACAGCAAAAGAAAGGAAACCCACCUGGACAUAUCACAUGUAAUAAAUCACACAUGUGCGGCAGCUACUACACCAAGAUAGCAGAGCACCAUUCGGACCACAUGGACAGCACCAGCAGAACAUGUACAGCAGCAGAAAAAUCUUCAACACAACAGACAAUCACGCUGGAAAAAAGCACUUGGACAACAUCAACAGAAGAUCCUUCGGUCAAACAUGCAACAGACAUGCAGAAAAGUUACAACAGACAGCAAUCAAUAUGCAGAAAACAUGGACCAAAAGCAGCAGGAGGAGUAGUCUUCGGUUGGCAGCGGUUUUUCUUGACUUUUAUCUUUCAUUUUUUUUGCUUGCUUUCGGUUUGGCAGCAAGAGCUGGAGAGUUUGAGUUUUUCUUCUUUCUUUUUGAUUCGGCUAGCAGCAGAUUUUCAAGGUUUUCUUUUGGUUUUACAUUCGGGCAGCAGAGUAAUGUAGAGGUUGGUGUGUAAAGAAAGAGAGGUGCCGUGAUUAAAGGGGAGUGAAGAGUGGAAAAUCGGUGGUGAUUGGAGGAGGGGGUUUGGACUUUGGAUGACUAGAAGCAGCUUUAUAUUUAUAUAUAUAUAUAUGUUGCUAGACGUAGGAGGGAAGGGGAGAGAAGAAGGUGUAGAGUGAAAGGGAUAGGUGGGGAGUUGAGAGAAUUGAAGAGAGGGAGUCGGCUCUAAUUAUUUCUUUCUUGGAGGAAGUUAAGGUCGGUUGAAGAGAGGGAAAGAGAGACGUGUAGAGAAUUUCCAGAUUGACUUUGGGGAUUAAUGUGAAAAGAAGUUGAUGUGGGGGAUGGAUGUGUAGGCCGGCUGGAGUAAUCUAAUUGGAUGGGAUUUAUUUUGGUGGAGAAAGGGACAUGAUGAGAUAGAUGCUUGAGUUUAACGUGGAGUUGAAGUGGUUGGAGUUUUAUUUUUUUUUGCUUCUUCAUGUUUUUCGUUUGGCAUCUGGUGGGGCUGUAGCUUCUUCUUGAUGAAUAUCUUUUAAUUUCAAUUUUUGUUUUAUCGUGAGCUUUAUUCCUCUGUAUCAAUUGGAUUUCAGAUUUUGUUGUUUUUAAGUUAUUGCUUAGUAUUACUUGUGUUAGUUAUUUAAUGGAGAAUACUUAUGUGAUUACUAUAGUAUUUGCAAUGAAUAUGUUUGGCUAAAUUUUCAUACUAAGGUUAGAGGUGAAGUUUAAUGAUUUA